GCAUUUGUAGUGUAGUGGUCAGCACACUCGGCGCGUAUUCGAGAGGUACCUGGUUCGAAUCCUGGCGAGGGCA
rnacentral:tRNA from 1 species